UUGGAGGGCAAGUCUGGUGCCAGCAGCCGCGGUAAUUCCAGCUCUCAUAGCGUAUAUUAAAGUUGUUGCAGUUAAAAAGCUCGUAGUUGAAUUUCGGGGUCAGUAGGUUGGUCGUGCCACCGGUACGUACUGGUCUCACUGAUUCCUCCUUCCUGAAGAACCGUAAUGCCAUUAAUUUGGUGUUGCGGGGAAACAGGACUGUUACUUUGAAAAAAUUAGAGUGUUUAAAGCAAGCUAACGCUUGAAUACAUUAGCAUGGAAUAAUGAAAUAGGACGAUCGAUCCUAUU
rnacentral:rRNA from 1 species